GUACUUCCAAAGUACAUAUACUAAAAUUGGAACGAUACAGAGAAGAUUAGCAUGGCCUCGGCGCAAGGACCCUUGUCUAUAACACUGAGUUCAACUUCAA
rnacentral:snRNA from 1 species